rnacentral:rRNA from 1 species
GCCAGCCCGCUCAAGAAACUCAAAGGAAUUGACGGGGCCCGGCACAAGCGGUGGAGCAUGUGGUUUAAUUCGAUGAUACGCGAGGAACUUACCUGGGCUCGAACGUAAGAUGACUGUAGGUGAAAGCUUACAUCUCUUCGGAGCAUUUUACGAGGUGCUGCAUGGUUGUCGUCAGCUCGUGCCGUGAGGUGUCGGGUUAAGUCCCAUAACGAGCGCAACCCCUACCUUUAGUUGCCAUCAGGUUAAGCUGGGGACUCUAAAGGAACUGCCUACGCAAGUAGUGAGGAAGGCGGGGAUGACGUCAAAUCAGCACGGCCCUUACGUCCAGGGCUACACACGUGCUACAAUGGCCGAUACAGAGGGCAGCUACCUGGUGACAGGAUGCAAAUCUCCAAAGUCGGUCUCAGUUCGGAUCGGAGUCUGCAACCCGACUCCGUGAAGUUGGAUUCGCUAGUAAUCGCGCAUCAGCCAUGGCGCGGUGAAUACGUUCCCGGGCCUU